UAAAUACCUGAUAACCAAAUUGAGAGAUGAGUAACUAAGUUGAGUAAUUACGUAAAUUCUGCUGAUGCAAUAGUCAGUACUAUAAACGGUUAUCAAUAUCAGGGUUCACAAUCUCGAUCCAAAAAAUUGGGUCUACCGGUGAAAUAGUCAUCAAUCAGGCAACAAUCAUUGGGAUCAUUAGAGCAGCUAAUUAACACAAGAACAUUCCAUGGUAUUCUUUGAGCGAGGUUUCAAGAUCGUGUUGCUCGUCAACACCCAUGGCGUCGUCUUUGGGAAGAACUUGCUGGAGUACAGCACGCAGGAUCGCCGUCGUCCCAUUGCUGUUCUCCGGCGAGCUAGCGACGGUGACCCAAGCACGGCAGGGGAAUCUGUCCUUUGCGCGAGGAUCGUCGUAGACCGCCUUCGCGAGGGUGGUCUUCCCGGAGCCGCCGAACCCGACGACG